rnacentral:miRNA from 1 species
UGCCCUGCCUUUCCACAGCUUUCUUGAACUUCCUAAUUGGCUAAUUCUCUCUCUCUCUCCCCCUCCCUCUCUCUCUCCCUCCCCCCUCUCUUCCUCUCCCCUCUCCCCCCUCUCUCCCUCCCUCCCUCUCGCCCUCCCUCUGCAUGAUGUGGAAGUUCAAGAAAACUGUGGGAAGACAUGGCAA